rfam:Triticum aestivum genome assembly, contig: Triticum_aestivum_CS42_TGACv1_scaffold_603770_7DL
CUACUGCUCCCUCCGUCCGGAAAUACCUGUCAUUGAAAUGGAUGUAUCUAGAUGUAUUUUAGUUAUACAUACAUCCAUUUUCAAUUCAUUUUGAUGACAAGUAAUUCCGGAUGGAGGGAGUACUAC